rnacentral:rRNA from 1 species
UACGGAGGAUGCAAGCGUUAUCCGGAAUGAUUGGGCGUAAAGCGUCCGCAGGUGGCUGUGUAAGUCUGCUGUCAAAGAGCAAAGCUCAACUUUGUAAAGGCAGUGGAAACUACACGGCUAGAGUGCGUUCGGGGCAGAGGGAAUUCCUGGUGUAGCGGUGAAAUGCGUAGAGAUCAGGAAGAACACCGGUGGCGAAGGCGCUCUGCUAGGCCGCAACUGACGCUGAGGCGCGAAAGCUAGGGGAGCAAACGGG